rfam:Drosophila ananassae strain TSC#14024-0371.13 Ctg01_15710, whole genome shotgun sequence.
UAAAUGGCUUUAUUAAAAACCACAGCAUAUAAAUAAUCAUAUUUUA